rnacentral:rRNA from 1 species
GACGAACGCUGGCGGCGUGCUUAACACAUGCAAGUCGAACGGAAAGGCCCUGCUUGCGGGGGGUGCUCGAGUGGCGAGCGGGUGUGAAACACGUGAGUAACCUGCCCUUGACUUUGGGAUAACUUCAGGAAACUGGGGCUAAUACCGGAUAGGAGAUCCUGCUGCAUGGUGGGGGUUGGAAAGUUUGGGCGGUUGGGGAUGGACGCGCGGCUUAUCAGCUUGUUGGUGGGGUAGUGGCUUACCAAGGCUUUGACGGGUAGCCGGCCUGAGGGGGUGACCGGCCCCAUUGGGAUUGAGAUAGGGCCCAGACUCCUCCGGGAGGCAGCAGUGGGGAAUAUGGCACAAUGGGCGGAGGCCUGUUGCAGCAACGCCGCGUGCGGGAUGACGGCCUUCGGGUUGUAAACCGCUUUCGCCUGUGACGAAGCGUGUGUGACGGUAACUGGUAAAGAAGCACCGGCUAACUACGUG